UAAUUGAAUUUUUAAAAUGAUUUUUAAUUAAUUAAAAGGGAAUUAGGUGAAAUUCCUAAACUAUCCCGUAGCUGUAUUAGAGGAGUUUAAAUACAUUGGAUGCCACUUAAAAAUAGGGAAGGCGUAUUUAAAUGAUGAUUCUUAAGUCAGAAGACCUGCCUAUGUUUUGCACCAAAG
rfam:Clostridium beijerinckii NCIMB 8052, complete genome.